UACGAAGGGGGCUAGCGUUGUUCGGAUUUACUGGGCGUAAAGGGCGCGUAGGCGGUGCGAUAAGUCAGGCGUGAAAGCCCCGGGCUCAACCCGGGAAUAGCGCUUGAUACUGUUGCGCUUGAAUCCAGGAGAGGAUGGCGGAAUUCCCAGUGUAGAGGUGAAAUUCGUAGAUAUUGGGAAGAACACCAGUGGCGAAGGCGGCCAUCUGGCCUGGAAUUG
rnacentral:rRNA from 1 species